AUUGAACGCUGGCGGAAUGCUAUACACAUGCAAGUCGAACGGCAGCACGGACUUCGGUCUGGUGGCGAGUGGCGAACGGGUGAGUAAUGUAUCGGAACGUGCCCAGUCGUGGGGGAUAACGUAGUGAAAAUUACGCUAAUACCGCAUACGAUCUAUGGAUGAAAGCGGGGGAUCGCAAGACCUCGCGCGAUUGGAGCGGCCGAUAUCAGAUUAGGUAGUUGGUGGGGUAAAGGCCCACCAAGCCAACGAUCUGUAGCUGGUCUGAGAGGACGGCCAGCCACACUGGAACUGAGACACGGUCCAGACUCCUACGGGAGGCAGCAGUGGGGAAUUUUGGACAAUGGGCGAAAGCCUGAUCCAGCCAUUCCGCGUGCAGGAUGAAGGCCCUCGGGUUGUAAACUGCUUCUGUACAGAACGAAAAGGUUUCUACUAAUACUAGGAGCUCAUGACGGUACUGUAAGAAUAAGCACCGGCUAACUACGUGCCAGCCGCCGCCGUAA
rnacentral:rRNA from 1 species